UACGGAGGGGGGCUAGCGUUGUUCGGAAUUACUGGGCGUAAAGGGCUCGUAGGUGGCCAACUAAGUCAGACGUGAAAUCCCUCGGCUUAACCGGGGAACUGCGUCUGAUACUGGAUGGCUUGAGAUUGGGAGAGGGAUGCGGAAUUCCAGGUGUAGCGGUGAAAUGCGUAGAUAUCUGGAGGAACACCGGUGGCGAAGGCGGCAUCCUGGACCGGUAUUGACGCUGAGGCGCGAAAGCUAGGGGAGCAAACGGG
rnacentral:rRNA from 1 species